rnacentral:rRNA from 1 species
UACGUAGGUGGCAAGCGUUAUCCGGAAUUAUUGGGCGUAAAGCGCGCGCAGGCGGUCCUUUAAGUCUGAUGUGAAAGCCCACGGCUCAACCGUGGAGGGUCAUUGGAAACUGGGGGACUUGAGUGCAGAAGAGGAGAGCGGAAUUCCACGUGUAGCGGUGAAAUGCGUAGAUAUUGGGAAGAACACCGGUGGCGAAGGCGGCUCUCUGGACCGAGACUGACGCUGAGGCGCGAAAGCGUGGGGAGCAAACAGG